ACUGAUCAUGCAUAUCCUCCACCCUCAACAAAGCCUGGUAGACGUGAACAUCAACGUCGCGAGAAGCAGCGACGGAAGAAGGGUUAGGGCGAGGACCGAGGGUGGUAAGAAAAGAGAGAGUUUGUGUGAUGUUGAGGUUGGUGAUGAGGUGUGUGAGUGAAGGUAUGAGUUUGGAGUUGGUUAAAUGAGGGAAGUUGGUUAAGAGGUUUUGAUGGAGCUGUGGUGGGAGAGGUGGGUGGGUUUGAGGGUGGAGAUGGUUUAAGAGAAAGC
rnacentral:lncRNA from 1 species